CCUCUCCUCCCUCUCCCUCUUGAUAGGUAGCCCAGGAUAGCCUUGUCCUCAGUCUACAGCCAAGGAUGUCCCUGAACUACUGAUCCUCUUGCCCCUGUCUCCCAAAUGCUGGGAUUACAGGUCUGCACCACCACACCUGGUCUAUGUAGCAGUGGAGAUCCAACCCAAACCUUCGUUCUUGCUAGGCAAGUACUCUACAAGAGAGCGGUAUCCUCGGACCAAAGCAAAGGCUUCCUUCCUGUGUUGUCUCACGCAGAAGGCAGACUGCGCAGGAAGCACGAUGAACAUCUCACUGGCCCAGACAUCACUGAACCACACCUACGUGGACUACAUCAAAUGACAUGGGAUUUGGAGAGGGGAUUUUUUAUGGUGUUUGUUUCUUUGGAUUUUCUUGUAGUGCUGG
rnacentral:lncRNA from 1 species